rfam:Cavia porcellus supercont2_93 genomic scaffold, whole genome shotgun sequence.
GCUGAACCCAGAAAGAACAGAACAAAACAAAGCUAGAAAGAUACAGUGAAGAUUAGCAUGGCCCUUGUACAAGGAUGACAUACAAAUUCAUGAAGCAUGCCACAUUUUU